CAUCCAAAGACUGCUGAGCUUUUAAAAAUACAAGCAUGGGAGGCUGUAUUGGCAUCUGAAUGCUUCUUUCCUUCCUUUUCUUCUCACUGAUAUACAAGGCUUUCUUCUGUGUAGAUCUAGGUAUUAAUGUUUCAGUGAACAUCUGGAAGGUGCUUCUUUUCAACAGGAUGCAGCUGCUAAUUUCUGGUUUUAUAGCAUUUCUGGAAAACCAAGUUCAGCUGUAACAAGAGUUACAAAGCCUCCAAAAGGACAGAUCUAUUAUCUUGAAUAAGGCACACUAUUAGAGUGAAAUUAUAACCUGCAGAGGAUUAGAAGCAGUGUAUUGGUGUGUACCCUUUGUUAAGCAGCCUUCGUGUGCCCAUGCAGUUCCACCUUGUGUCAUGCUGUGGCUAUAAUACCUAUGUAGAAAGAUAACCCAAUUGUAGUGCCAUUAGAUGAGGGUAAUUCCAUUAGCUACAUAUUGAUACAAAAACAAUUGAGAAUGGCAUUUGUCCCAAACCAGAGACAUGAGGAAAUGAGUAAAAUAGAUUUGAUGCCAAAUGCCAAGAAUUAGAUAUGGAAAACAACAGUUUAAUGACAUGCACAGUUUAAUGUGAAUGCACAAGCUGUAUAAAUUAAUCUGUAAAACAGCUUUUUCAAAUAUGUCCUACUGUUUCUGUGUGCCUUAAAUUAAGCAAGAAGAAUAUUAUUACCUUUUACAAAGAGUGUCCUUUUUUUGUUCUUCAGGGCAAGAAAUUCUAAGGUGACCAUUCACGUGAUCAUACAAACUGUAUUUAUCUCUGUCCAGCUCCCACUGGACUGAUGUUGAUGUCAUGGAAAUACCAUUCAUGACUAACUUGGUGCCAGCUGUAGCAAAGGGCAAUUCCAGACAGAGGUGGAGAUGGCAGUAAUGGUGGGUUUAAGCACACAGAUGAGCAAGAAUAGAGAAGUUCACUUUGACACUUAACAGCUGCCCCCAUAGUAGAUAAAAGGAGUACUUCAUUCCCCAGAGCUUUCAGUCUGUCUCUCCAUUCACUAUAUUCUUUUAAAAUUGAGUCUGUUUAGCUUCCACUGCCAGACACUCUGGCACAGUUCCUCAGGCACUUAAAUAUCAUUGCGGAUUUGGGCUUCCGAGCCUACAUCUUAUUUCCCUCUGAGGGGGAGGAAGCUUUGCAAGUAGAGUUAACUUUGCUAUAGAGGAAAUAAAUGCCACGAAACCUUUCUAUUAGAUUAAAACUGAUAAUAAAAAACAACCUCUGGCCCUCCAUGAGGUAUGUCUGUGAGCUGCAAAGCCCUUGUUGCCUGGGAUGCUGUGGAAAGGCUGGUUUAGGUGAGCAUCUCAUGUGGUUGGCUUCUAGUGAAGCCCAGGAUAAUUCUUUCUUCCUGUACGAUCUCCUUAUUUUUCUGUCCUCCAGCAGUAUGUAUGGAGUGCAUCCAACCCACAGAGAGCACAGAUGUAGCUACUCCAUAAAAGCUUCUGAAACAUCCUGUGUCUGACAUAAAUAAAAAUGACCUUUCAUAUCAAUCUCUAUCUCUGGCUGACAAUAAUUGGCUAGUCGUUUUAUAACAUGACAAGCACAUGCAGUGUGCUUGGCACAAACUUCACCAGUAUGGGCAAGAUGAGAUUUCACAAUUCUUUACUGCAUAAAGAUACUCAGAAGGCAUAUAUAAGUGUUUGUAUAUACGUCUCUGUGUCUGUACACGCAUACACACACAUAUAUAGGCUAUAAAACUAUGCAAUAGUAUUUUGCACGCAGAAAAGCAACACUUAUUGUAGUGUAGCAGCCUGAUUCUGUUAACAUGCUGGCAUAAAUCAGGGCAGCUGCAUCUAAAUCGGCAAAGAUGUAAGUAGAGGCAAAUUGCUUUCAAUGAAGAAUUGGGUGUAGAUUGCCUAGCUUAUCUGGAAGAUGGAAGAAAUAGCUUUAGACAGUUUAAUAUUGUCAUUUGUCUUGGAAAUAGAAACCAGAGAGUUGGCUAAUUUUUUUUUUUAAACUCUAGGUCUGAUAGGAUAAGGCUGUCUGAUUCUGAUGCUAGCAUAUAGUUUCCUGCCUUGAUUUAAAAAUAAAGCUAAUCUAGUAUAUUUUUGGAUUAAAUAAAUAAAAUCUUGCCACUGCAUUGUUUUUGAUAUUUCUGGAAAUCACUAUAUGAUUUAUUGAGUAAACUCUAGUAGCUGAAAAUAUUCUAUGAAUAUGAAAAAUAUUUUCUAGGAAGUUACAUGUGUUUUCUCUGAAAUGUCUAUGGCAGUUUCAUUUCCUGUGGUUUCAUAGUUUUAUUAAAUGUCAUUGUUUCUUCUUGGAGUAUAUGAUCUGUGCUCUCUAAACCAGAAGUAUGUCUAGAAGGGACUCAUUCAAUUUUCUUGCUUUAUAUCAUGUGUCUUUCCACUACAUAAAAGAACUUUGAAUCAACACUUUCUGCAUCAUUCAGUGUUUUUAAUUAUCUACACUUUCAACAUCAUCACUCUCUCAUGUCACACUGCAGGUUCACUGUUGUUUGUCUGUUGGGGUUCUUGAUUACAGAUGAUAGUUAAUGCUGGCCAGUUUUUGACUCCUGCAGGUCUCUUAUCAGAUGCUAGCAAGUUCUUAUUUUCUUCUGCAUCCUCUUGCAUGCUGUGGAUGGAGGGAGAUGUGGUCCUGAAGUGAGCUUGCAUGGGUUUUGCAUAAUAUUCAGCUGUUAUUCUGCAUAGUUUGAUGCUGAAGAAUAGCUCCGCAACUGUGUGCCUUCAAUCAGAAACAGACCAAGAGGUGAUGACCUUUAUUAGCCUGAUGUGUUUAUUGAAGUGCACUCUGAAUUCUUAGCAGAAAAUAAAAUAAAUAAAAAGAAUCCCCAACUCACUGAAAAGUCUGCAUCAUAAACAUAAGCUGCUUUUGUAGGAAUUUGUAUUAAAAAAAAAAAAAAGUAAAGUCUUCCUUUAUUUAUAUGUGAUGAUGGUGGGAGUGUUCUCUUAUGUGCAUCUGUUCUAUAACAUAAAUGUGUUUGUGGCUGGAGAUCUGAAACUGGAGUACAAUGAAUGCUUUUAACACCAGAAUGGAAGUAUUAUCUUCAUAAAAUUAGAGAAGAUUGGUUUGCAAGCAUGAAUAAAUGCUGUGUGGAUUUGAGGAGACAGUUUACUACAACACACCUGAUCAGUUAACUGAUCCAUCUGUUCUGGUUUUCUGCCUCUGGUAGUUUGUUACUUCAACGGAACAAGCAGGAUCUAAAAAUAAAGCAAGCAUGGAGGAAGGAGAGUUCAUCUCCUGACUUUUGCAAGCUGUCAAUUUAUUCAUUGCAAUGUGAAGUGUAGUUGGCAUCUGAUCAUUAUCUUGCCUUAACUGUUCUCUGUUAAUUUUAAAAACAAUGGGACAGUCUUGAGCUCUGUUGAUUUCUGUGAUAUGUUACAACACGAUCUGUGAGGCUCAGUGCUUACCUAUGUUUUGCAUAAAGCUGUGUUGGAUUUUACUGGUGUUGAUACAUAAUGACCUUGCUAAUUAACAUAUCUUGUUAUUGUCUCAUAGUUCAACACUUAAGGACGAAUAUAUUGAGACUGUAUUGAAACUUAUUUCAAUAAUUUUAUAAUUCAGCUUAGUUCAAAAUAAAAACAAAAGCACACUAUGAGGUCAGUCCUGUCUAGCUUAGUUGGCAAUAGAAGGCACUAAUUACUAUAAAUAUUUUUGAUCUACAUUGCUAAUUUAUAACUGACUCUAAGGUAAGGUCUCUUGUUCAAUUUGAAAUGCUAAUAUGUUUAUAUUGCUCAUAUGCAUUUAAAUGCUGUAGUAAUAGAAAAUACAAUAUAUCAGUAACUAAAAGGGUGUGUUUUAUCUCUGUUUUUACAAAAUUUACCAGUCUUCUCACUCAGUUUGAACACUAAAGGCACUGAACAGCCACAACCUCUCUCUGCCCAACAGCUGGUGUAUUACUGGGCCACUUGCCCUUUCCCAUUUUAAGUGGUGGGGGGAACGUGUGAUGGUGAAAUAGAGGCUUGGGUAACUAUGGAUGCUUGUAGGUAGCUUCAGACUCCUUUGAGUGUGCUUCUAAGCUUUCAGGUCAGCUCCUGCUUGUGAUUCUAGACAGUCCUGAGUAUGUUGAAGUAAGUAGUGCAGGUAUGUUUUUUCUCAUCUGUGUAGGUUUUAUUGUAAUUUUGUUUAGAAUGCAUAUUUGUAUAAAGGCAUGGCUUUUGAGUCUUGGAGAAACUACAGGCAAUAGGACUGUCAAGGUAAGAAUGCACUAAUGAGGUCAGCAUAAGCCUACCAAAAUGCAAUAACAGAACUUUAUUAAAUGUGAGGUGACACAGUAUCUGUAUGAUUCAGAUUGAAAAUGGGUGCCUAAAUCAGCAGGUGCACCUUAUUUAGAAAGAGAAAAAUAUGUUUGAGUGGAGCCUUAAUUCUAAACCUUGAAGUCUUAAAGGUGGAAAGUAUCUGUAAUCUAGAGGUGCUUAAAUUUGCAUUCUGAAAUUUCCAUGGCUCACAGUGCCUCUGAACGUGUGAAGAGCUGCUGCUGAUCAUCCUACACGCUACUGUAUUUUAUCCAAUUACCACUGUGUGAAAUACAAACAUUUCUGUGAUAUGAAGUAAACCCAGAACUAGCACUGCAGUAGUUACCUCCAAAAUGGUAAAUUGAAAAUACAACACUUUGAUGCCCUAGAUUCUUCAUCUGUAGAUGUUCACGCAGGGAGCAGGCAAUCCUGGAGGCAGACAGGCCUAUCAGUACCAAAGGUAAUCAGAUAAAUUACUCCCUCAUUCAAGGGACACUCAUCUGUUGUAGGUCACAUGCAUACUAGCCUUAAGGACAGGGUGCAGGUUCUCAAAUUAGAUCCCGUUAUUAGGAAAAUGUAGCAAAAUUCUGCUGUAUGCUUUACUAGACAAGCUAAUGAACCUAUAUAUGUUAUAAAUUAAGGCCAACAUAUCUCAGUUUUUCUCACCAAAAGUACAAAUACAUGGGUAAAACACAUACGACAUUUCAGUUUACUGAGCUUUGUAGGUGAUAGAUAUAUUUAGAUAGAAAUAUUUUCUGAACUUUCACUAGAGUUUACAAAAAUCAAGAAAUGGUAACUUGAUGCUUUUUCAGGCAUGUAAUUGAUAAAGCUCAACAU